UACGUAGGGCGCAAGCGUUGUCCGGAAUUAUUGGGCGUAAAGGGCUCGUAGGCGGUUUGUCGCGUCGGGAGUGAAAACUCAGGGCUUAACCCUGAGCCUGCUUCCGAUACGGGCAGACUAGAGGUAUGCAGGGGAGAACGGAAUUCCUGGUGUAGCGGUGAAAUGGGCAGAUAUCAGGAGGAACACCGGUGGCGAAGGCGGUUCUCUGGGCAUUACCUGACGCUGAGGAGCGAAAGUGUGGGGAGCGAACAGG
rnacentral:rRNA from 1 species